rnacentral:rRNA from 1 species
AUACGUAGGGGGCGAGCGUUGUCCGGAAUGAUUGGGCGUAAAGGGCGCGUAGGCGGCCCGGUAAGUCUGGAGUGAAAGUCCUGUUUUUAAGUUGGGAAUUGCUUUGGAUACUGUCGGGCUUGUGUGACGGAUAGGAUAGCGGAUUUCCCAGUGUAGCGGUGAUACGCGUAGAGAUUGGGAGGAACACCAGUGGCGAAGACGACUUACUGGACAGUAACUGACGCUGAGGCGCGAAAGUGUGGGGAGCAAACAGGAUUAGAUACCCUGGUAGUCCACACUGUAAACGAUGAAUACUAGGUGUAGGGAGUAUCGACCCCUUCUGUGCCGCAGGCAACACAAUAAGCAAUCCGCCUGGGGAGUACGGCCGCAAGGUUGAAACUCAAAUGAAUUGACGGGG